UAUUGGACAAUGGGGGAAACCCUGAUCCAGCGACGCCGCGUGGGUGAAGAAGGCCUGCGGGUUGUAAAGCCCUUUCGGUGGGGAAGAAAAGCUUCGACCUAAUACGUCGGAGUCUUGACGUAACCCACAGAAGAAGCACCGGCUAACUCUGUGCCAGCAGCCGCGGUAAUACAGAGGGUGCGAGCGUUAAUCGGAAUUACUGGGCGUAAAGCGCGCGUAGGCGGCUUUGCAAGUCGGGUGUGAAAUCCCCAGGCUUAACCUGGGAACUGCAUUCGAGACUGCAUUGCUAGAGUAUGGGAGAGGGAAGUGGAAUUUCAGGUGUAGCGGUGAAAUGCGUAGAUAUCUGAAGGAACAUCAGUGGCGAAAGCGACUUCCUGGACCAAUACUGACGCUCAUGUGCGAAAGCGUGGGGAGCAAACAGG
rnacentral:rRNA from 1 species